rnacentral:rRNA from 1 species
CCCUUGACAUGUCCUCUAUGGAUUCCAGAGACGGAGUCCUUCACGUUCGGGUGGGAGGAACACAGGUGCUGCAUGGCUGUCGUCAGCUCGUGUCGCGAGAUGUUGGGUUAAGUCCCGCAACGAGCGCAACCCUCGCCCUUAGUUGCCAUCAUUUAGUUGGGCACUCUAAGGGGACUGCCGGUGAUAAGCCGGAGGAAGGUGGGGAUGACGUCAAGUCCUCAUGGCCCUUACGGGCUGGGCUACACACGUGCUACAAUGGCGGUGACAGAGGGAUGCAAAGGGGCAACCCUUCGCAAAUCUCAAAAAGCCGUCUCAGUUCGGAUUGGGGUCUGCAACUCGACCCCAUGAAGUUGGAAUCGCUAGUAAUCGCAGAUCAGCACGCUGCGGUGAAUACGUUCCCGGGCCUUGUACACACCGCCCGUCACACCAUGGGAGUUGGCUUUACCUGAAGACGGUGCGCUAACCGCAAGGAAGCAGCCGGCCACGGUAGGGUCAGCGACUGGGGUGAAGUCGUAACAAGGUAGGCGUACUACA